AGCGGGCCGCGGGUUGGCUGGGUGCCUGCGCCGCGGCCGGGACCUGACAGGGAUGCUCACAUCUGGUGCUUGCGGUUUCCGUGGCCCUGAGGGUGGGGAGUCUCCGAACGAGGCUCUCAGGUUCUCAUUUGCAGGAUGUGUUUCUUCCCCAGGCCUCUGGAAUCAGAGACAGCAAAUCCGUGUUCAGGUGGCGGUUUGCACAGUACUUAGCCUUCAGCCCCCUCAGGUGUAAAACGGGAAUAACGAUGCGGUGUGCUUCGUGGCUGGCUCUGGGCGUGCUGCUCCGGCGCUGACGGGUGUCAGCUGGGGCUGCUUUCUGAACGUUCGUGAAGAGGGAGGCUCAGCCACGAGUGCUAACACGUGUCUGCAAGCGCAGAGCUCCGGAAGCAGGAGGAGAGCAAGAGGGGGGACAGUACGCUGAAUUGUGUGGAUGCCCCACAUUUUCAGUAGCCAUUCAUCCAAUCAUCACAUCUGAGCUGUUUCCGGUUCCUGGUUGUUACAAACAAGGAAGCAACGAACACAGUUAACAGCUGCAUCUCGUGGAACGUCGGUUCCUAGCUUUCUGGGGAGCCGCCGCACGGAUUUACAUAGUGUCGACACCUGUUCGUGUUCCCGCCAGCAACGGAUAAGCCCCACGCAUCCUCACCAGCAUGAGCUGUCAUUUAUUUUAUUGAUAUUAGCAAUUCUGAUUGCUGUAAGAUGAAAUUUCAAAGGAGUUUUAAUUUGCAUUUUCCUGAUGACUAAAAAUGUUGGACGUUUAUUCAAGUGUUUCUCAGCCCUUUGUCUUUCAACUCUUGAAAACUCUGUACUCUAUUGUUAUUUGAGUCAUUUCUUUCUUUCUUUCUUUCUUUCUUUCUUUCUUUCUUUUUCUUUCUUUCUUUCUUUUGGUUUUCAAGACAGGGUUUCUCUGUGUAGCUUUGGCUAUUCCAGACUCAUUCUGUAGACCAGACUGGUCUCAAACUCACAGAAAUCCACCUGCCUCUGCCUCCCGAGUGCUGGGAUUAAAGAUGUGGUGACACCA